ACUCUCCUUAGUUCCACAAAAACUAAAGAGAAUGAGACUGAGAGGCUGUGAAGAGCAUUCAAAAGAGGUAUAUUUCUCUCUCAGUAUAAUAUUCAUCAUUUCUUGUUGUUUACAAAUUUGGCAACACUUUUACAUAAUGAAUAUUGCAUCAUUCAUUUCUUGCAAAUUAUAAGAUUAGCUUCUUAUUAGUUUUUGAGAGGUUAUAAUUAUGAAUGCCUUCCAUGUAUUUUCCUGAGGAUAAGGCGGUGAUAAUAAUAGGUGCAAUAGGGUCUGGUAAGUCUAGGCUUUUCAUAGAUCUAGCCAAUUCAUUUCCGGUAGAGGCUGUGAGUAGUGAAAAGUGCAAGUGUACAAACGUCUUGAUAUAGUUACACACAACUCUGUCUCUGUGGAAACUAGCAUGCAAAGUUCUUCACAAAUCAACGAAGGGUCUUCAGUUCUGCCUUGUGCAUCAUUCUCGGUAAAAAUAUUACCACAUUCGUGACUAUAUAUUGUCCUUUGUACACUUGCAUUUUGUCACUAUUCACAACCGCUGCUGGAAAAUGAUUAGCUAUAGAUCAAAAAGUCUAGAUUUUUUAGUCCUUAUUGCUUCCAUAAUUAUCACCAUCAUGUCCUUUGGUGGGGAAAUAUAUGAAGGAAUCUAUAGUUAGAACCUCUCAGAAACUUAUAAGAGGCUGGCCUUAUUUGCGAGAAACAUAUGAUGCAAUACUCAUAAUGCAGAAGUUACAAAUCUGUAAACAAUAAGAAAAUUGAUGAAGCAAAGAGACUGUGAAGAGAACUGAAAACUUGAGUAUCUCGAUCUUUCUCAGAGGACUCUUGCUACAGAGUUGCCAUUAUGUCCAUCAAUAAUAUGAGUGAGAAGAGAUCUGCGGCAGAUAGAAUUAGCAAUAUUCCUUGUGAUGUUAAAAGCACAAGUACAAAGGGGUGGUACGUUCCGAACUAGUGUUUUGAUGGUAACAUUUGUUAGUGUUAUGAUUUUAAUGAUGACAAAUUGUUGUGUCGGUACUAUACUCAAAGGUUUAACCAAACCCAUUGGACAUAAAAGCCCAAUGAACAAAAAGAGUUCAGUUGGCUGCAAAGGAGUACAAGCCCAAGUCGGCUGCAUAAGGAAAGUAUCUCAAGGCACGAAGAAAAUAAGCUCAUGCUUAUUUUUGGAACAAGGAUCAGAUUUUACUCAAGCAAUCAAAUCAGUACAAUCGUGGAGAUUCAAGCAUUAAAUCAAAUCUGCAUAUACAAAAAAACAAGUACCAUUCAAACAAGGUAAAUGGCGCAUAAGGAAAGCAGUUGUACAACAUUGAUUAGCCAUCAAGGACACAUAAGGAAACAUGUAUCUACUAAAUAAGGGUGAUGCCACAGAAGGAAAGAAGCGUUACAGAUUAAUAAGCUCUUGCUUUAUUCUUGGAAAUUAGGAUCCUCAAUAUUCCUAAUUUACAAGGAUCAAUUCUCUUGGGUUGACAUCUCUGCUAAAGAAGAGUCUAACGGCUAGUUGAUUUGAAGACUAUAUAUUCAAGACUCUAGAGACGAAGAAAAACAUACUUUCGUCUCAUACUCUCAAGCUUUCUGCUUUACUUUUCACAAACAUUGUAUUUUUGAGUGAUAUAGUGUAAACAAAAAAGAAAUGAGAGAUAUAGUAUAGUUUGUGAGGCAUUGUAUCAAAAAGAUCACAAGUGUUUGAGUGUAGACAUGGGAGCUCCAUUCAAACAAACCAUGUACCAAUCCAUUUACAAAGAGCUGUAGAGAACACCUUUGCAACCCAAGGGGACUGGACUAGGAUUCACAUUGAAUUUGAACCAGUAUAAAAUACCUGGUGUCA